rnacentral:rRNA from 1 species
GGGUGAGUAAAGUGGCGUACGGGUGAGUAACACGUGGGUAAUCUACCUCUGGGUGGGGAAUAACCCUGGGAAACCGGGGCUAAUACCGCAUAACACUGAAAGGUCAAAGGCGCAAGUCGCCUGGAGAGGAGCCCGCGGCUGAUUAGCUAGUUGGUGAGGUAAAGGCUCACCAAGGCUAUGAUCGGUAGCCGGCCUGAGAGGGCACACGGCCACACUGGCACUGAAACACGGGCCAGACUCCUACGGGAGGCAGCAGUGGGGAAUCUUACACAAUGGGGGAAACCCUGAUGCAGCGACGCCGCGUGAGCGAUGAAGCCCUUCGGGGUGUAAAGCUCUUUCGGCAGGGACGAUAAUGACGGUACCUGAAGAAGAAGCUGCGGCUAACUACGUGCCAGCAGCCGCGGUAAUACGUAGGCAGCGAGCGUUGUUCGGAGUUACUGGGCGUAAAGAGUGCGUAGGCGGUUUUCUAAGUUUGGUGUGAAAUCUCCCGGCUUAACUGGGAGGGUGCGCCGAAGACUGGAAGGCUUGAGUAUGGGAGAGGUAAGCGGAAUUC